rnacentral:rRNA from 1 species
CCCUUAGACGUUCUGGGCCGCACGCGCGCUACACUGACCAGUGCAACAAGCAUCCGUCCUUGGCCGACAGGCCCGGGCAAUCUUUGAACGCUGGUCGUGAUGGGGAUAGACUUUUGCAAUUUUUGGUCUUCAACGAGGAAUUCCUAGUAAACGCAAGUCAUCAACUUGCAUUGAUUACGUCCCUGCCCUUUGUACACACCGCCCGUCGCACCUACCGAUUGAAUGACUCGGUGAAAAAUUGGGACUGUGAUUGAAAUUGCUUCAUUGCGAAUUUAAUCAUGGAAACUUUCUUUAACCUAGGCAUUUAGAGGAAGGUGAAGUCGUAACA